CGGAACUAUUACAUGGAAUGUCUGUCGCCUGUUUUAAAGAAGGAUCAAAAGAGAUUAUUGGUUUAAGCAUACUAUAUAAAAAAAUCAAGCUUCCUUGGAAUCCGAGUUCUCAAUUGACUUAUGGAUUUAAUGUGUUUCAACAUUACGGAGUUAGUGAAUACUCAAGAGGCAAUGGUAUGGCAACGGAUUAUCGGGCAAGCGGAGUUGGGAAGAAGCUUGUUGAGUGUCGAGAGGUAGUUCGGCACAUCGAGUGCAUUUACCUCCAAAUAUUCAAUUAAAAUAGCUGAUGAUUGCGGAUUUGAGGAAAAUAUAAACAAAGGUUCUUCUCAUGGUGGUUAUAAACAUUUCUCAAUUUUGAAAUCGAAGCGGUAUAAUUUCACGUUCAAUACAAGACUAUACAUUUUAUCGGUGCA